GACGAACGCUGGCGGCGUGCCUAAUACAUGCAAGUCGAGCGGACCGGAUUGGGGCUUGCCUUGCUUCGGUCAGCGGCGGACGGGUGAGUAACACGUGGGCAACCUGCCCGCAAGACCGGGAUAACUCCGGGAAACCGGAGCUAAUACCGGAUAACACCGAAGACCGCAUGGUCUUCGGUUGAAAGGCGGCCUUUGGGCUGUCACUUGCGGAUGGGCCCGCGGCGCAUUAGCUAGUUGGUGAGGUAACGGCUCACCAAGGCGACGAUGCGUAGCCGGCCGGAGAGGGGGACCGGCGACACGGGGACUGAGACACGGCCCAGACGCCUGCGGGAGGCAGCAGUAGGGAACCUGCCGCAAUGGGGGGAAGCCUGACGGAGCGACGCCGCGGGAGCGGAGAAGGCCUUCGGGGCGGAAAGAUCGGUUGUGAGGGACGAAGGAGCGCCGUUCGAAGAGGGCGUCGCGGUGACGGUACCUCACGAGAAAGCCCCGGCUAACUACGUG
rnacentral:rRNA from 1 species